rnacentral:lncRNA from 1 species
GAGCAUCAGAGCAAAGCCCCAGGGCUUUUGUUUGUUUCCUUACAUUGAAAUAUGUUGAGAAGAAAGAGUUUCAAAAAUUGACUGGAGAAUGACUUGUGGUUCCAAGCGCUCACAAGUUCAGUUUUUGCCAAGACGUGUCAGUUACAACACGCUUGGUAGAAGAGCUGGGACAAUGUAGAAUUGAAGUAGGUUUCCUGCCCCACAUCAGUAGUUGGGCUGCCAGCAGUUAUUACACUGCUCCUAGCUCAUCCCUAUGCAAGGCAAGCUCUUACACACAACACCAGAUUAUGUAUUUCCAUUUUAAGUUAUUUCCUUGAAAAGACGGGAACUUUCAGUUCUUUCAUUCCUUACUUAGAAACAAACUGAUCACACGAGGGUCACUCUACUAGACACUGAUACACAAGACAUGGAGAGCAACAAAAGCCUAUGGUGUUUUCUUAUUAAAAAGAGCAUUAACCGUCUUCACUCCCAACUCUGCUUCCUCUUCAAAGGAAACUGCAAUUUCCUAUCGAAACAACAUCAGACAGAAAGAGAAAUACCAGAUCCAAUCUGCCAGAGACAGCACUUUGGCGUUUUACUAUUAGCACCUAGAAAUACUCAUGCCCUAAACAGGAGGAUCGGUUUCACCGCCACUCCUGGGGGAAAAAACCAGCAGCUCCCAGCUCAGCAGUGUCUUCUGCUGGAUGGCAUCUCCCAUUGCAGCAGCAACCCAACUCCCAUUGUAUUAAUGAUCAUAUCAAGGCUGGCACAAAGAAAGAGAAAACCCCUGAGAAAGAACAGGAAAGGGAAGCCUGAAGAACAUUUAAGCUAAGAUUGCCUCUCUUAACCAAGCUUUAGCACAAACCAUCAAUACCUUUCACAGUUAAAGCAUUCAGGAUAGCUCUCUUCACCAGCCUCUCUCUCCUGCCCGUUGUUUCUGAAGAGUCAUCCAAACCAGGAUAGCUUUCAACAUGCGCGCCUCCAUUUCUCUGUACAAGACUAACACUGUGUGUCAAAAAUACUCUGUUUUAUUUAAUCGAAACAGAAGCUGACCAGGUUCCACCUCCACAGAAAAGAAAAAAAAAAACACAUUUAAAAUUGGUUACACUAAGAGCCUUCUGUAACACCCAAGCAGCACACUGCCAACAAAAUCAAACCCAAGAUGUUUCAAAGAAAAAAAAAUAAAUCGAUGUUGUCCUCAAAAUAUUUGUUACACAGAAUACAAUCAAGUUUACUGGUUAUGACAAUUCAUAGAAUUUCUGCAAUGUUUUCUUGAGUUGCGUACAGUUCACUGCUGCAGUGCAUCAAAUAGCACAGCGUGUCACGUGCUAUUUCUCCAUAAAAAGGCCACUGGAAUAUCCAUCUGAACGUGAACCAGGUUGCAAACUGCUGCGCAAACUCUCCCAAGAAAAGAAGUUUCCUGAAGAUCUCACAGCUCGUCUUUAUCCCAGAUAUCAUCCAGGUCCACAUCGCUGAGAUCAAUAUCAUCUUCAACCGGAAGCUCACCAUCUUUGCCAUCCCAAGGUUCAACUGCAUGAAUUUUAGGGAAAGCUCCACCUCCUACUGGUGCUGUAGAACCACGACCAACAGACAGUUCCCUGAGAAACUCAUUAAUCCCUUGCUCACUGAAUGAUCCCUUCAGGAGGGCAAAUUUCAUCUUCCGGGCAUUAAUGGCUGCCAUUGCUGGAUACCCAAAGCCUCCUAUUCCCAAAGAGCUCUCAAGAUCUGACUGAGCACCAGCUUCGGUCCACAGCCACCCCCACAUUUUCUUUUUGUAUUUCUCAGCCAUUUUUAGCAUGACAUCCAGGUAAGAAUUCCUCCCCGAGGCUCCUGUGUCAAGAAUAUGAGGCAGGACAGAAAUGAUGCAGAGCUGAUGAGCAUCACAGGUAGUCUUCAGAACAUCUUCAUUAAUUAUCUCCAGGAGCUCAGGUGGUGGUGCGUUAUCAGAAAACAGAUCCAGAGCACGAGCAGUGAUAUCAGAUCUAGUUCUCCCUCCAUCAUAAUCAACAGGGUCUUCUCCUUUCUGGAAUAUUUUAAUUGUGGGAAAUCCACGAAUCCCGUAUCGGUUUGCCAGCAUCUGAUUGACUGUUGCAUCUACUGCAGCCAGCUUGACUUUUCCCUUGGUUUGUUCCUUCACCUCAGUGGCAGCAGCUGCCCAUUCUGGCUCCAGAUUUUUGCAGUGCCCACACCAUGGGGCAUAAAACUCCACCAUCCACACAUCAUCACUAUUUAUGACAUUCUUAUCGAAGCUGUCAUCAGUCAGUUCAAUCACGUCCUUCUUAUCUCCGCCUCCGCUCUCUCGGCUCUGUCUCCCAGAACUGUAUCCUCCACUUCUGCCACUGAGACGGUCUUUCACCAGGGACCGAAGAGCACUUAGAGCAGCAUCGACAAUGGCUUCGCUUGUCCUGCCACCCUGAUAAUCUUCAGCUUUGUUUUUGUUGGCUCCAAAUAUCUUGAUAGUUGGAAAACCUCUGACUCCAUACUGUCCACCCAAAGACUGAUGCUUAUCUGCAUCUACUGCACCUACUUUCACUACACCUUUUAAUGCUGUUGCAGCUUUCUUCCACUCAGGGGUUAGUCUUUGACAAUGACCACACCAUGGGGCGUAGAACUCCACGAGCCACAGGCUCUCACUCUGAAUGACCUCCUUGUUGAAGUUGGUUGGUGUUAGCUCUAUCACAUCAUCACUGGCCGAAUAUAAACCGUUAACUGCCAGGAAUAACGUGCAGCUCACUGUGCCCCACCACAGGCCGCCCGUUCCGCGCACCCCCAUGACUACAACCACUCUCCACCGCCGCCGCCGCUCCACACAGCC